AGAGUUUGAUCCUGGCUCAGAGUGAACGCUGGCGGCGUGGAUUAGGCAUGCAAGUCGAGCGAUAUUUUGAGUGGAGAGGUUGAAGCCGCAAGGUGGAUGCCAAUUCGCUUGAGAUAGAGCGGCAAACGGGUGAGGAACACGUGAGUAAUCUACCUCAUAGCGGAGAAUAGCCUCAUGAAAAUGGGGGUAAUGCUCCAUAAGACCACAUUGUGGUAUCACGAUGGGGUAAAAGCAGGGGAUUCCGACUAACGUCGGGACCUUGCACUAAGAGAUGAGCUCGCGUCCUAUCAGCUUGUUGGUAGGGUAAUGGCCUACCAAGGCGAAGACGGGUAGCUAGUCUGAGAGGAUGUUUAGCCACACUGGGACUGAGAUACUGCCCAGACUCCUACGGGAGGCUGCAGUCGAGAAUCUUUAGCAAUGGACGAAAGUCUGACUAUGCGACGCCGCGUGAGGGAUGAAAGCCUUCGGGUUGUAAACCUCUUUCGAUUGGGAAGAAAAUUCAGCACUAUAACAUAGUGCUGGACUGACGUUACUAAGAGAAGAAGCCACGGCCAACUCCGUGCCAGCAGCCGCGGUAAUACGGAGGUGGCGAGCGUUACUCGGAAUUACUGGGUGUAAAGGGCAAGUAGGUGUCUCGAAAAGUGGGGAGUGAAAUCCUUCGGCUCAACCGAAGAAUUGCUUUCCAAACUAUCGAGAUUGGGUGUGGGAGAGGAAAGCGGAACUCUCGGUGUAAGGGUGAAAUCUGUAGAUAUCGAGAGGAACACCAGUAGCGAAGGCGGCUUUCUGGACCACUACCGACACUGAAUUGCGAAAGCUAGGGGAGCAAACAGGAUUAGAUACCCUGGUAGUCCUAGCCGUAAACGAUGAGUACUUGGUGUCCCGGUUUUACUGGGGUGCCGCAGUUAACGCAGUAAGUACUCCACCUGGGGACUACGGCCGCAAGGCUAAAACUCAAAGGAAUUGACGGGGGCCCGCACAAGCGGUAGAACAUGUGGUUUAAUUUGACGCUACGCGAAGAACCUCACCAGGACUUGACAUAUAGGUAGUAAGAACCUGAAAAGGGGAUGACUCGUCAAGUCGAGAACCUAUACAGGUGUUGCAUGGCUGUCGUCAGCUCGUGUCGUGAGAUGUUGGGUUAAGUCCCGCAACGAGCGCAACCAUCAUUCUUAGUUGCGACUUGCACUGUCCGCAAGGACAGUGUGAAGCACUCUAAGAGGACUGCCCGUGAUAAACGGGAGGAAGGUGGUGAUGACGUCAAGUCAGUACGGCCCUUAUGUCCUGGGCUACACACGUGUUACAAUGGGGUGCACAAAGGGUUGCCAAACCGUAAGGUGGAGCUAAUCCCAAAAAACACCCCUCAGUUCAGAUUGGAGUCUGCAACUCGACUCCAUGAAGCUGGAAUCGCUAGUAAUGGCGGAUCAGCUACGCCGCCGUGAAUACGUUCCCGGGCCUUGUACACACCGCCCGUCAAGCGAUGGGAUCUGGGAGCACCCGAAGUCUCCAACAGGAGCCUAAGGUGAAACUGGUGACUGGCGCUAAGUCGUAACAAGGUA
rnacentral:rRNA from 1 species